rfam:Beauveria bassiana ARSEF 2860 unplaced genomic scaffold BBA_S00006, whole genome shotgun sequence.
GCUUUGGUGGCCAAGUGGUAAGGCGUCGCACUUGGUUAGUAGCCCCUGAACAUGCCCGUUUCUAAUAACAAGUCCCAUUCUAACAUCUCCAAAAGUAAUGCGAAGACCGUGGGUUCGAAUCCCAUCCGAAGCA